rnacentral:rRNA from 1 species
AACGAACGCUGGCGGCAGGCCUAACACAUGCAAGUCGAACGAACUCUUCGGAGUUAGUGGCGGACGGGUUAGUAACGCGUGGGAAUAUACCCUUGGGUACGGAACAACUUCUGGAAACGGGAGCUAAUACCGUAUGAUGUCUACGGACUAAAGAUUUAUCGCCCAAGGAUUAGCCCGCGUUGGAUUAGCUGGUUGGAGAGGUAACGGCUCACCAAGGCUACGAUCCAUAGCUGGUUUGAGAGGAUGAUCAGCAACACUGGGACUGAGACACGGCCCAGACUCCUACGGGAGGCAGCAGUGGGGAAUCUUAGACAAUGGGGGAAACCCUGAUCUAGCCAUGCCGCGUGAUUGAUGAAGGCCUUAGGGUUGUAAAGAUCUUUCGGCGGGGACGAUAAUGACGGUACCCGCAGAAGAAGCCCCGGCUAACUUCG